GCGGGAUGCAACCCGAGUUCCGCGCGAGGGGCGGCCCCGCCCGCCAUUAGCGGCAGGGAGGCGCUGUCCCGCGGCGUGUGAGCGGGGUUCCUGAGGCACCCCAGACCCUCUGUGACAAGCACCGCACCGUCCCCUCCCCGGUGGCCGUGCCCCGAGUGAUGGCUGCCGGUGGUGAACCUGCGGCGCAGAACGGGCGCACAGGGAAGGGCCUGCGGACGCCUCGUGCCCGCUGCGCUUUGGCGCCUUUUUCCCCCUCACGGGCAGCGCGCGGCCCCUGAGGGGAGUUUGGCGCCUUUUUCCCCUCACGGCCAGCGCGCGACUCCUGAAGCCCCUGGGCUGCCGUGAGGCCACGGGGAAAUGCUGCGGGGUCGUGUCCGAGCCCGAAUAAUAUCCCAUAAAAUCAGCGAUGGAGUCAGGUGCACCGUCCGUCAGUGCUGGGAGAUCCUGCUCUGUGCCGAAAUGGCUGUUUGGAAUGGCAGCGUUUUCAGAGGCGGUUCAGUGGAGCAGGAUGAGCUCUGAGGGCAGCGGGAAGGUGCCGGCGUUUGGGAGAAGGUCAGGAAAGGGAUAGCGUUAGGGAUGGCUGGGAAGGCAGCGAGAUGGACCCCGGGUAUUAAAUACGAUCAUACAUGAUAAUUGUCAAUUAAAUGAGCCUGACGAACUCAAAACACUGCUGCGGAAUCUCACGGGAUUAUAAAUUUCCUAGUAGUCUGGGAGCAGUGGAAUUGUCCACAAUUCCUUGCAGCAAUCAGCAAAGUAAUCACACACAGGUAAAACCCUCACAAAUAUCAAACAAGGUGAAGCAUGUGGAUUGAGGGUGUGAAGAAGACGAAGAGUUUCAGAUCUCAGCAUUCAGCUUUACAGCCUUUUACACUGAAAAUUAUCAGUGACUGAACUAAAUAUGAAAACUUAGGCAGUGAAACUUGAAAUUGAAAUUUUGUUACUGAAUGUUUGACGUUGAAAUUGAAUGUUUGGCAUUGAAAUGCUCUCACGUGGCCAAUAAGAUAUAUUUCUAGACAUUCAUGUGUGAGAAUUUGUGUGGAUCUGAGGAAAGCCAAGGGGGUUGAUACCUGCCUAACCCAAAAGGAUAGAAGGUAGAAGGUGAAAAAAAGAAAAACUAACUGAACAUGGGUUGCUGCAAGUUGGGUCCAUUUUUCUUGAUGCUUACAGUUCCACUGGCCCAAGUGUGUUUUCCUGCUUAAAUAAACUUAUUUUUAUGAACAAAUAAAGCGACAAGAGCUCUGCCCUCAUCUGCUUAGACUCUGCUGACUAUACCUACAAUAGCCAUUUAUUGACAUGCAGCAGAAUAAUCUGUGACUUCAAUUUGAUAUUAAAACAAGAGUUGAAAAGAUUCCUCAGCCAGCAAAAUACAUCACACUAGUUCACCAACUUCACUGGGUCAGGAAAAGGUAAAGAAAAGUUCACAUCUUACUGCGGUAAAAUCCACGUCCCUUCCCCGAAAAUCUGCUGCAUUGAAAGGAAUUACUGUACCUCAUAGAGGCUGCGGGAGGAACUGUACGGCCAGGGAAUGGCUCCGUACUCUGCAAGGAGAACACCUGGCUAUGAGAUUCCUGAAGGCUAAAGUGUUGUCCCUUCUGAAAUGAUGAGGCUUUGGCUGUCCUGACCCACGUCAAUGACACUGCCACAGUGGACUGGGCAUAUGUAAG